rnacentral:rRNA from 1 species
UACGUAGGCAGCGAGCGUUGUUCGGAGUUACUGGGCGUAAAGGGUGUGUAGGCGGUUGUUUAAGUUUGGUGUGAAAUCUCCCGGCUCAACUGGGAGGGUGCGCCGAAUACUGAAUGACUUGGAGUGCGGGGAGAGGAAAGUGGAAUUCCUGGUGUAGCGGUGAAAUGCGUAGAUAUCAGGAGGAACACCGGUGGUGUAGACGGCUUUCUGGACCGUAACUGACGCUGAGACACGAAAGCGUGGGUAGCAAACAGG